rfam:Salmo salar isolate Sally breed double haploid chromosome ssa24, whole genome shotgun sequence.
CUCCCUAUGGCUCAGUUGGUAGAGCAUGGUGUUUGUAACGCCAGCAUGGUGUGUUCAACGCCAGGGUUGUGGGUUUGAUUCCCACGGGGGGC